AUGUGGUGUAUAGCGAUGCUUUGCAUGUUCUUUAAACCUUUCCCACACCUUAUACAAAGACUCAUCAUCCAUCUGUUGAAAAUAGUGAUCUCAUUCCUCAACUU
rfam:Gossypium raimondii Chr09_contig_1100, whole genome shotgun sequence.